rnacentral:lncRNA from 1 species
CUCGAGAUCUUCUUCGAGAAUCAAGUUGAUGUUUGAUUAGAAGACAAACCCUCAUAGCUUAUGGUAUUCAAAGGUUAAAUCAUCACAAAUCUUCGAUUCUACAAGCUCCGGAAGGAGGUUCGGCGCGUGGAUUUCGCGUGAAGCCGAGGAUUCGGUGGACGCUUUGAGGAGUUGAGGCGUUGACGCUGCGAGGAGUUGCAGCAAGGUCGGUUGGUGGAUUCCUAUCGAUCGAGGACCGACGAAGAUCACCAUCAACAAGAAAUCGGUAAAUUGAGUCGUG